UACGUAGGGUGCGAGCGUUAAUCGGAUUUACUGGGCGUAAAGCGUGCGCAGGCGGCCCGUUAAGACAGGUGUGAAAUCCCUGGGCUCAACCUAGGAAUUGCGCUUGUGACUGGCGGGCUCGUGUACGGUAGAGGGGGGUGGAAUUCCUGGUGUAGCAGUGAAAUGCGUAGAGAUCAGGAGGAACACCGAUGGCGAAGGCAGCCCCCUGGGCCUGUACUGACGCUCAUGCACGAAAGCGUGGGGAGCAAACAGG
rnacentral:rRNA from 1 species